CCUACGGGGGGCUGCAGUGAGGAAUAUUUGUCAAUGGACGAGAGUCUGAUCCAGCCAAGUAGCGUGAAGGAUGACUGCCCUAUGGGUUGUAAACUUCUUUUAUAUGGGAAUAAAAUGUUCCACGUGUGGGAUUUUGUAUGUACCAUAUGAAUAAGGAUCGGGUAACUCCGUGCCAGCAGCCGUGGUAAUACGGAGGAUCCGAGCGUUAUCGGGAUUUAUUGGGUGUAAAGGUCGCGUAGGGGGAUUGUUAAGGCAGUUGUGAAAGUUUGGGGCUCAACCGUAAAAUUGCAGUUGAAACUGGCAGUCUUGAGUACAGUAGAGGUGGGCGGAAUUCGUGGUGUAGCAGUGAAAUGCUUAGAUAUCGCGAAGAACUCCGAUUGCGAAGGCAGCUCACUGGACUGCAACUGACACUGAGGCUCGAAAGUGUGGGUAUCAAACAGGAUUAGAUACCCCAGUAGUC
rnacentral:rRNA from 1 species